rnacentral:lncRNA from 1 species
CCUUUUCGUUUUCUCUUUUUCCUUUUCUUCCUUUUCCUUUUCUUCCUUUUCCUUUUUCUUUUCCUUUUCCCCUUUUCCUUUUCUCCUUUUCCUUUUUCCUUUUCUCCUUUUCCUUUGCUCCUUUUCCCUUUUCCUUUUCCUUUUCUUCUUUUCCUUUUCUUUUUCCUUUUCUCCUUUUCCUUUUUCUUUUCCUUUUCUCCUUUUCUCGUUUUCCUUUUCCUUUUCUCCUUUUCCUUUCCUCCUUUUCCUUUUCCUUUUCUCCUUUUCCUUUUCCUUUUCCAUUUCCAUUUCCUUUUUUCCUUUUUUCCUUUCCCUCCCAGACAAGCGGGAUUACAUCUGCGAGUUCUGCGCGCGCCCCUUCCGCACCAGCAGCAAUCUGAUCAUCCACCGGCGCAUCCACACCGGGGAGAAGCCGCUCCAGUGCGAGAUCUGCGGCUUCACGUGCCGCCAGAAGGCCUCGCUGAACUGGCACAUGAGGAAACACGACGCCGACUCCUUCUACCGAUUCCCGUGCGACGUCUGCGGGAAGAGGUUCGAGAAGCGCGACAACGUCGCCGCCCACAAGAGCAAGAGCCACCCCGGGGGGCUCCGGGACGGGAUCCAGCAGCAGCCGCCGCCCCCCGAGCCCCCGGAACCUCUGGAGCUGCUCCGGGACGUCCCGGGCGAGGCAGGGAGGAUCCCGCUGGAAUUUGGGGUGGGGGACGUUGGGCGGGAUCCAGGUACACCCCAAAAGCCGGGAGAUGGGUGAGGAGGGGUCUUAGAGGGCGGCGGAGCGAAACCGAUGACGAUGCCGGACCGGCGUGCGAAAAAAUACACGGGAGAGAGGUAAAAGUGGGGGGAAAAAUCCCAGUUUUUCAGCCAAAUCCCAGAUGGAACCACAAGUUUUCAGCCAAAUCUCUUUUGGUUUGUUUUUUUUUUGCCGAAUCCCCGUUUCCGUUAAGCUCGGCAGCGUUGCCACAAGUGGAUGCUCAAUAA